ACCCUGUGCGCAUGGAAGGGCCCGACUUUGCCCUGGGUCGUCGAGGGCUGGGGGGGCGGUGAAGGAGGAUGGCUUGCCUACGCGGAGGGGGCUAAGCAUCAUUCAAUAGUAUUCAUUCGAUAGUACUUACUGAGUGCCUACUCUGUGCGGAGCACCGUGCUAAGCGCUUGGAAUGGACAAUUGGGCAACGGAUAGGGACAAUCGCUGCCCCACGACGGGCUUCCAGUCUAAACGGGGGAGAUGGCCAGCGAAGCAAGAGUGAGGCCGAUGUUGUUAACCGUGCCCAUCGACGCGACCAUUCGGGCUCCCGCCCCUUCAGCCCCAUCCCCACCUCAGGCGCCUACGCCAUUAGGCCGCCACCGCGCGCGCGCCCCGCCCUCUUUCCCGCCUUCCGCGUCUGCCCCGACCGUUGGGGCGGGGAACGGCCCCCGCCGGACAGGCGCCGUGUCUCGCGACCUGUUGGUCGGGGGGAGGGCCGCGCUCACGUGAUCCGAAAGCCUGCCUCGCGCAGGGCCGCGCGCCGUAGUGAGAGGGGCACGUGACGCCCCCACCCAGCCGGCGGAGGGGGAGGGGAGCGGGUGUUCUGGCGCGCGCGCCGCCGCGCGCCCUCCCUCCCUCCCCGUGGCUCCCGGGGCCGCGCCGUCCGCUGGGAUGGGAUUUUCCCUGCUGGGCCGGGAACGAUCGGGAUCUGGCGUUGGGAUAAGCUCUAGAUCGGAAGCGGUGUGGCCUAGUGGCCCGGGAGGCGGAAGGUCAGGGGUUCCAAUCCCGGCUCUGCCCCUGGGCCGCUGUGGGUCCUCGGCCAAGUCGCUUGACGUCUCUGGGCCUCGGUUACUUCAGCCGGAAAGUGGGGGUGGAGACCGUGAGCCCCACGUGGGACAGGGACCGUCUCCAACCCGAUCCACCUAG
rnacentral:lncRNA from 1 species